GAUGAACGCUGGCGGCGUGCCUAAUACAUGCAAGUCGAGCGAACAGACGAGGAGCUUGCUCCUCUGACGUUAGCGGCGGACGGGUGAGUAACACGUGGAUAACCUACCUAUAAGACUGGGAUAACUUCGGGAAACCGGAGCUAAUACCGGAUAAUAUAUUGAACCGCAUGGUUCAAUAGUGAAAGACGGUUUUGCUGUCACUUAUAGAUGGAUCCGCGCCGCAUUAGCUAGUUGGUAAGGUAACGGCUUACCAAGGCAACGAUGCGUAGCCGACCUGAGAGGGUGAUCAGCCACACUGGAACUGAGACACGGUCCAGACUCCUACGGGAGGCAGCAGUGGGGAAUAUUCCGCAAUGGGCGAAAGCCUGACGGAGCAACGCCGCGUGAGUGAUGAAGGUCUUCGGAUUGUAAAACUCUGUUAUUAGGGAAGAACAAAUGUGUAAGUAACUAUGCACGUCUUGACGGUACCUAAACAGAAAGCAACGGCUAACUACGUG
rnacentral:rRNA from 1 species